rnacentral:rRNA from 1 species
UGGGGAAUAUUGGACAAUGGGCGAAAGCCUGAUCCAGCCAUGCCGCGUGUGUGAAGAAGGUCUUCGGAUUGUAAGGCACUUUAAGUUGGGAGGAAGGGCAGUAAGCGAAUACCUUGCUGUUUUGACGUUACCGACAGAAUAAGCACCGGCUAACUCUGUGCCAGCAGCCGCGGUAAUACAGAGGGUGCAAGCGUUAAUCGGAAUUACUGGGCGUAAAGCGCGCGUAGGUGGUUCGUUAAGUUGAAUGUGAAAGCCCCGGGCUCAACCUGGGAACUGCAUCCAAAACUGGCGAGCUAGAGUAGGGCAGAGGGUGGUGGAAUUUCCUGUGUAGCGGUGAAAUGCGUAGAUAUAGGAAGGAACACCAGUGGCGAAGGCGACCACCUGGGCUCAUACUGACACUGAGGUGCGAAAGCGUGGGGAGCAAACAGG